GAUGAAGAACGCAGCGAAAUGCGAUAAGUAAUGUGAAUUGCAGAAUUCAGUGAAUCAUCGAAUCUUCGAACGCACAUUGCGCCCCUUGGUAUUCCGAGGGGCAUGCCUGUUCGAGCGUCAUUAUAACCCCUCAAGCUCAGCUUGGUGUUGGGGCCUGCUGCACUGGCAGCCCUUAAAAUCAGUGGCGGCGCCAUCUGGCUCUAAGCGUAGUAAUUCUUCUCGCUAUGGAGUCCUGGUGGAUGCUUGCCAUCAACCCCCAAUUUUUCUAUGGUUGACCUCGGAUCAGGUAGGGAUACCCGCUGAACUUAAGCAUAUCAAUAAGCGGAGGA
rnacentral:misc_RNA from 1 species